AGCAUCCUGUUCUUGCAGCUACAGAGGAGAUUGAUUUCCCAUGGUUAGCUGGAGGAGCUGGGACAUGUCCUACCAUCCUGCUCUCCAAAACAGAGAUUGGAAGAGUGCCAGCACCUUGUCAAAUGGUGUUCAUCCGUUUGUCCCUUGGACAGGCCAUCAUUGGAAGAUGUUUUCAGCCAUUCUUGGCUGCAGGACAUACAUCUUCUCCAAGAGAUGACAAAGAUCCAUCCCUCUGCACAGUAGGAUCUGGCAAAUUCUAGCUGGGGCCUGGACUGCAUUGGGAAGUGUUGUGACUGUCUGCAGAAUGGAUUCACUGCCAGUGCCACCCUGGCAGGUACACCUCCUUCCAGACGGAUGAGGACAUCAUCUGGGAUCAGCUCCUCUUCCAGCAGCAGGUCUCUUAAGGUGGGUACCUGGCCUCACAGCAUGGGUAGCAUAGUGGGUAGUAGAAGACAGCAAUGGGCACACAUGCUUCCCCUCACCCUUGCAGGUGUGAGGAUUUUGAUCUCCUCGUUAACUGGAGGAGGUGGCACUAGUCCUGCCAUCCUGUUCUCUUUCAGAAUGGAGAACUGAUUGGUAGAUUUGGGUACAGUUCUGAGCACGGCCACUAACAUGGCUGGGCACUACAAAAGGGGAAGGCUGGACAGGAGCCUUCUCCAGCUGACCAUUUUCUGAUUUCUCUCCCCAAAGUGCCAGCACCUCAUCACAGCAAAACAGCAUCACUGAGCCUAUCAGCUUGGUGGUAGUGAUGUUUAUUUGCUGUCAAAAAUAAUUUUUUUUUUGUAAUCAGAGUAUUUCUUUUAUCCUUUUCCAAGCUUUUAAUGUCCUUCCUCUAGGAUAAUUUUUUGCAUCCUUUACACACAAAAAAAUUGUGCCUUUAUUGGAAUUGGAUGGGGGUUAAGCAACCAAAAAUGAUUUUUAAUUUUUUUUUUUUAGCAUCAAAAAGAGAAACAACAGCUCCUGUUGUUUCAAAUUGGAGUGGCUACUUCAGUGCCCCUGAACUGCCACUCAAGCACAUACCUUUUUGAUGCUGCUGUCUGUCCUCCAAAACAACACACUCACCAAAUCUUUCACCCAGCCCUAAGAGCCCUCCACAGACCAAACAAAACCCCAUAAACUUGAGAGAAGGACAAACCAUGCUGGGUGUUAAAAAAACAUGCCCUCAAUAAAACAAAAGAUUGUAUUAUGCAAUGUUAGUUUACCUUUGUGGAUAUUCUCAGUUCAGUCAGAGAGAAGAGAGAAUUCUUCCAGGCCUAGCCUGGGAAAGUUAGGAGAAGGAAUGAAAACAAUUAUUAUCUCUCUUUCUGUUCAUAUUUUUUAUAGAUAUGUUCUACCACAGUGUGCUAUUCAUAGUGCACCAAUAGUGUGAAAAGUUUUCCCUUUGAGACCAAUCAUAUUUCACCUUAGUGA